GCCUGGGUGUGGGAGCCUCCCUGCGGCAACACCGUGGGGCUGGGAGAGGAGAGGGGCUCUACGGGAGCCCUGGAAGCAAACAGCUUCACCCCUUCAGGGCUCUGCUGUUUAAGCAAGCCGAGAACUACAGCUCCAAAUCCCAGACAAACGUGUCAGCACCAUCUGUGACAGAACACUGUGUCCCGAGUGCCUCCUGUAUCCUAGAUGCUGGUCACAAACUUUCAUUUAAUUCUCACAAUAGGCCAGGGAGGUCCACAACACUAUUUGCGUUUUGCAGCUGAGGACAGUGAAGCUUGAAGACAUUUAAGGUGACACAGACGCUCACGUUAGAGCUGUGACUGCCCCUCCACCUCUCCCAGUGGAACCAGCCACCUGGCUGGUGGCCUCUGAAGUCCCCUGCAGCUUGUCCACCUGCAGACUCCUCCCUACAGUUUUUUUGUGAGCCGACAGGUGUGAGAUGAAGUCUUACAAUGACAGGUGACAGACACUCACCUGCUGGGAUCAGAAGGAGCCACCACAGGCUGAGCUUCGUGAAGGACAAAAGAGCAGGACAGGAGGGGCCCAUGGCUUCCCCUGAGCAUCAGGAGUUCAGAUCAGGGCUUUGCUGUGGUUGCUCCUUGGACCGUGUCCCCAGCAGAGUUGCAGCUGGAUUCUGCGAGGCUUCCUGUCACCACCAAACCUGAGCAAGCCCAGGAAAGGGCCCUUAGGAACAUGUACUCUUGACAUAGACAUACUUCUAUUUCUCACACUUUACACAGGCAUGAAAAGUGAGCAAAAGGCCCUCAGCAGGCCUCUCAGCAGUUAAGUGCGCCUGGGCUCUCCCUGGUUUAUUGGGGAAUCAGCCUCUUCCUCUUUCUCCAGCGUCAGCUAGGGACUCUGCCCUAAGACCAGCCCUGACAUGCUGGACAGAAGAGGGCGCAGGAUCACACCAAGGUCCCCAUUGCUUUGCCUCAGUGCUCCUUUGUAAAAUGUGGGUAAUCAUACUGCAAAGAGUGGUUAAUAAAAGAAUCAUGGUAGUAUUCAGUACUAUUCACAAGAUUCAAAGGGUGGAAACAGCCUUUUGUCCAAACAAAUGUCCAUCAGCUGAUGAAUGGAUGGACAAAAGGCAGUAAAUCCUUACAAGAGAACACGAUUCCACCAUAAAAAGGACUGAGGCACUGCCGCAUGCUACAGGGUGGAGGAACCUCAAAAGCAUUGUGCAAAGUACUAGAGGCCAGUCGCAAAAAGCCACACACUGAAGGUGAUACUGUAAAAUAUCUAUUUGGUCUUCAAUCCUGUUUCCUGGAAUACAACUCCUAAGAUAGUUGGAAUCUCCAAAACGAUGUCCUUUUGCGUGACUGGUGGCUGGCAGCCCCUGCAUAGCAGCAGGAUGGGGCUGGUCACAGGGAGACCAAGGCAGGAUUUAAAGGGUUGGGACUUUCAGCCCCACUCCUCAAACCUCCAGGGACAGAAGAGGAGCUGAAGGUUAAAUUGAUCACCAAUAGCCACUGGAUUAAUCAGUCAUGCUGCAUAAUGAAGCCUUCAUAAAAACCCAAAAGGACAGGUUUUGAAGAGCUUCUAAAUGGCAGAAAAUUGGAGGUUCCUGAGGGGUGACGAGCCUGGGGAGGGUUUGGAAUCUCCAUACGCCUUCCCAUACCUUACCGUAUGCAUCUCAUCACCUGUAACUUACACUCUCUUUUAUAUGCCAGUGUUUCCCUGAGCGCUGUGACCCACUCUAGCAAGUUAGUUGAACCCAGAGAGGGGAUCAUGAGAACCUCAAUGUAUAACCAGUGGGUUAGAAGCACCGGUAAAACAACCUGGGACUUGUGAUCGGCAUUGAAAUUGGGGGGCAAUGUUAGGGACUGAGCCCUCAGCCUGUGGGAUCCGAGCUGUCUCCAGGUGGAUGGUGUCUGAAUUGAAUUAGAAGGCACUCAGCUGGUCUCUGCUGCAGAAUUGACUGCUGACGUGCAGGUGGGAGAAAUCCCCACAUCUUUGGGGGUCACAGAAGUCUUCCAUGUCGAUUGUUAUGGAGUGAGAGCAGAGGAAAACAGUUUGCGGUUUUUUUUUACACAGUGUAUGAUCCCACUGAUACGGGAUAUGCAGAAUAGGUAAAUCUAUAGAGACAGAACAUAGAUCAGUGGUUGCAGGGGCAGCGGGAAGGAGGGAUGGGAAGUGACUGCUUAAUGAUCACUGGGUUUCCCUCAGCAGGGAUAAGAAAGCUCUGGAGCUACAUGAUGUGAUGCUGCACAGAUGUGGGGAUAUACAAUAUUCAGCAAAUGGCACGCUUUAAACGGGUGCAUUUUAUGGUAUUUGAAUUAUAUCUCAAGAAAAGCUAUUAUCAAAAA